GACGAACGCUGGCGGCGUGCUUAACACAUGCAAGUCGAACGGAAAGGCCCUGCUUUUGUGGGGUGCUCGAGUGGCGAACGGGUGAGUAACACGUGAGUAACCUGCCCUUGACUUUGGGAUAACUUCAGGAAACUGGGGCUAAUACCGGAUAGGAGCUCCUGCUGCAUGGUGGGGGUUGGAAAGUUUCGGCGGUUGGGGAUGGACUCGCGGCUUAUCAGCUUGUUGGUGGGGUAGUGGCUUACCAAGGCUUUGACGGGUAGCCGGCCUGAGAGGGUGACCGGCCACAUUGGGACUGAGAUACGGCCCAGACUCCUACGGGAGGCAGCAGUGGGGAAUAUUGCACAAUGGGCGGAAGCCUGAUGCAGCAACGCCGCGUGCGGGAUGACGGCCUUCGGGUUGUAAACCGCUUUCGCCUGUGACGAAGCGUGAGUGACGGUAAUGGGUAAAGAAGCACCGGCUAACUACGUGCCAGCAGCCGCGGUGAUACGUAGGGUGCGAGCGUUGUCCGGAUUUAUUGGGCGUAAAGGGCUCGUAGGUGGUUGAUCGCGUCGGAAGUGUAAUCUUGGGGCUUAACCCUGAGCGUGCUUUCGAUACGGGUUGACUUGAGGAAGGUAGGGGAGAAUGGAAUUCCUGGUGGAGCGGUGGAAUGCGCAGAUAUCAGGAGGAACACCAGUGGCGAAGGCGGUUCUCUGGGCCUUUCCUGACGCUGAGGAGCGAAAGCGUGGGGAGCGAACAGGCUUAGAUACCCUGGUAGUCCACGCUGUAAACGGUGGGUACUAGGUGUGGGGUCCAUUCCACGGGUUCCGUGCCGUAGCUAACGCUUUAAGUACCCCGCCUGGGGAGUACGGCCGCAAGGCUAAAACUCAAAGGAAUUGACGGGGCCCCGCACAAGCGGCGGAGCAUGCGGAUUAAUUCGAUGCAACGCGUAGAACCUUACCUGGGUUUGACAUGGAUCGGGAGUGCUCAGAGAUGGGUGUGCCUCUUUUGGGGUCGGUUCACAGGUGGUGCAUGGCUGUCGUCAGCUCGUGUCGUGAGAUGUUGGGUUAAGUCCCGCAACGAGCGCAACCCUUGUUCACUGUUGCCAGCACGUUAUGGUGGGGACUCAGUGGAGACCGCCGGGGUCAACUCGGAGGAAGGUGGGGAUGACGUCAAGUCAUCAUGCCCCUUAUGUCCAGGGCUUCACGCAUGCUACAAUGGCUGGUACAGAGAGUGGCGAGCCUGUGAGGGUGAGCGAAUCUCGGAAAGCCGGUCUCAGUUCGGAUUGGGGUCUGCAACUCGACCUCAUGAAGGCGGAGUCGCUAGUAAUCGCAGAUCAGCAACGCUGCGGUGAAUACGUUCCCGGGGCU
rnacentral:rRNA from 1 species